GUGGGGUUGUGGCUCAGCGGUAGAGCGCUUGCCUUGCACAUGCGAGACCCUGGGUUUGAUUCUCAGCACCACA
rnacentral:tRNA from 1 species